rnacentral:rRNA from 1 species
GACAGAGGGUGCAAACGUUGUUCGGAAUUACUGGGCGUAAAGCGCGUGUAGGCGGCUUGGCAAGUCGGGUGUGAAAGCCCCGGGCUCAACCUGGGAAGUGCACUCGAAACUGCUUGGCUUGAGUACUGGAGAGGGAAGCGGAAUUCUCGGUGUAGAGGUGAAAUUCGUAGAUAUCAGGAGGAACACCGGUGGCGAAGGCGGGUCUCUGGGCCGAUACUGACGCUGAGGAGCGAAAGCGUGGGGAGCGAACAGG